AGGAACAUUGCUGUAAUGUUGCUUUAAUGUUGUAUGUAGGUUCUGCUUCAGUACUAGAAGAUGGAGGAGAGGAACAUUGCUGUAACGUUUCUGUAACUUUGUGUGGGUUCUGCCUCAGUACUAGAAGAUGGAGGAGAGGAACAUAGCUGUAACGUUGCUGUAAUGUUGUGUAUAGGUUCUGCCUCAGUACUAGAAGAUGGAGGAGAGAACGUUGCUGUAACUUUGUGUAUAGGUUCUGCUUCAGUACUAGAAGAUGGAGGAGAGGAACAUUGCUGUAACGUUGCUGUAACUUUGUGUGUGGGUUCUGCUUCAGUACUAGAAGAUGGAGGAGAGGAACAUUGCUGUAACGUUGCUGUAACUUUGUGUGUAGGUUCUGCCUUAGUACUAGACGAUGAAGGAGAGGAACAUUGCUGUAACGUUGUGUGUAGGUUCUGCUUCAGUACUAGAAGAUGGAGGAGAGGAACAUUGCUGUAACGUUGCUGUAACUUUGUGUGUAGGUUCUGCCUUAGUACUAGAGGAUGGAGGAGAGGAACAUUGCUGUAACUUUGUGUGUAGGUUCUGCCUUAGUACUAGAAGAUGGAAGAGGGAACACAGCUGUAAUGUUGCUUUAACGUUGUGUGUAGGUUCUGCCUCAGUUCCAGCAGAUGGAGGAGAAGAACAGGCUUCUGCGCUCGGUUGCAGGAGGAGGCGUUGACUCAAUCAGCUCGCUCAGAGCAAAAGUGGGACAAAUUCGAGCUGAUAAUGGAGAGUCACCAGCUGAUGAUCAGAGAACAGGUGGAGGUGAUGAAGAGCAGCGUGUCGGGCCGGGUCAGUGUGUACUUACGGGAGCUGCAGAAGUUCCGCUCUCGUUGGGAUCAGCUCCGACCCGCCGAUGAUGUCAUUGAGUCAUGUGACCCUGAUGCCUUGCAGCGAUGCGUGGAGCGAGUGAGAGAGAAGAGGGAGGAGUUUAAUGAGCUCGAGAACACGCGCACAAAGCUGCUGUAUGACGCACACAUGCACACACCCUCUCUCUCUCUC
ensembl:lncRNA